rnacentral:rRNA from 1 species
GGGUUGUGAGGUUAAGCGACUAAGCGUACACGGUGGAUGCCCUGGCAGUCAGAGGCGAUGAAGGACGUGCUAAUCUGCGAUAAGCGCCGGUAAGGUGAUAUGAACCGUUAUAACCGGCGAUUUCCGAAUGGGGAAACCCAGUGUGACUCGUCACACUAUCAUUAACUGAAUCCAUAGGUUAAUGAGGCGAACCGGGGGAACUGAAACAUCUAAGUACCCCGAGGAAAAGAAAUCAACCGAGAUUCCCCCAGUAGCGGCGAGCGAACGGGGAGGAGCCCAGAGCCUGAAUCAGCAUGUGUGUUAGUGGAAGCGUCUGGAAAGGCGCGCGAUACAGGGUGACAGCCCCGUACACAAAAGCGCAUGUGUUGUGAGCUCGAUGAGUAGGGCGGGACACGUGGUAUCCUGUCUGAAUAUGGGGGGACCAUCCUCCAAGGCUAAAUACUCCUGACUGACCGAUAGUGAACCAGUACCGUGAGGGAAAGGCGAAAAGAACCCCGGCGAGGGGAGUGAAAAAGAACCUGAAACCGUGUACGUACAAGCAGUGGGAGCCCCACCACUAAGCCAGUGGUGAACUCCACAUACGCAUCCUUUGCUGAAGGUGCGGUUAACGGAGCGCAAGCGACGUUCAACCUCAAAAGAAGCAGAGGGGGCUUAGUGGUGGGGUGACUGCGUACCUUU